UUGGGUUAAGUCCCGUAACGAGCGCAACCCUUGUCCUUAGUUUACCAGCACGUUAUGGUGGGCACUCUAAGGAGACUGCCGGUGACAACCGGAGGAAGGUGGGGAUGACGUCAAGUCAUCAUGGCCCUUACGGCCUGGGCUACACACGUGCUACAAUGGUCGGGUACAAAGGGUUGCCAAGCCGCGAGGUGGAGCUAAUCCCAUAAAAACCGAUCGUAGUCCGGAUCGCAGUCUGCAACUCGACUGCGUGAAGUCGGAAUCGCUAGUAAUCGUGAAUCAGAAUGUCACGGUGAAUACGUUCCCGGGCCUU
rnacentral:rRNA from 1 species